rnacentral:ncRNA from 1 species
AUAUUUAUUAUAUCUUAUGGUAUUGGGUUUUGAUGCAAGCUUCUUGAUCAAAGUAUCACGAGUUUGUUAUAUAAUCGCAAACAAAUUCUUUAAUAAAACGAUGCAUUUAUGUAUUUUUGAUUUGAAAAUUUGGUAUAACUCCAAUUACUCAGGUAUGAUCCAAUUCAAGGACAUUGCCAGGUAGGGAGUUUGACUGGGGCGGUACAUCUCUCAAAUAAUAACGGAGGUGUCCCAAGGCCAGCUCAGUGCGGACAGAAACCACACAUAGAGCAAAAGGGCAAAUGCUGACUUGAUCUCGGUGUUCAGUACACACAGGGACAGCAAAAGCUCGGCCUAUCGAUCCUUUUGGUUUAAAGAGUUUUUAACAAGAGGUGUCAGAAAAGUUACCAUAGGGAUAACUGGCUUGUGGCGGCCAAGCGUUCAUAGCGACGUCGCUUUUUGAUCCUUCGAUGUCGGCUCUUCCUAUCAUUGUGAAGCAAAAUUCACCAAGCGUUGGAUUGUUCACCCAUGCAAGGGAACGUGAGCUGGGUUUAGACCGUCGUGAGACAGGUUAGUUUUACCCUACUAAUGACAAAACGUUGUUGCGACAGCAUUCCUGCGUAGUACGAGAGGAACCGCAGGUACGGACCAAUGGGCACAAUACUUGUUCGAGCGAACAGUGGUAUGACGCUACGUCCGUUGGAUUAUGCCUGAACGCCUCUAAGGUCGUAUCCGUGCUGGACUGCAAUGAUAAAUAAGGGGCAAUUUGCAUUGUAUGGCUUCUAAACCAUUUAAAGUUUAUAAUUUAUUUUAUAAACGACAAUGGAUGUGAUGCCAAUGUAAUUUGUAACAUAGUAAAUUAGGAGGAUCUUCGAUCACCUGAUGCCGCGCUAGUUACAUAUAAAAGCAUUAUUUAAUACAAUGACAAAGCCUAGAAUCCAUUGUAAACGACUUUUGUAACAGGCAAGGUGUUGUAAGUGGUUGAGCAGCUGCCAUACUGCGAUCCACUGAAGCUUAUCCUUUGCUUGAUGAUUCGA